UCCAGCAGAGUCGGCUACUCAUUGCUGCUCAGUGCUUGGGAUAGUGUUAUGCUGCUGGGAAAGAAAUGUGCUGCCAAGUGGCCCCUGGCACCGCCGGUGCCGUUCUGGUGCCGGGCGGUGUCAGGUUUGGAAGCACGCUGCAUCCGUGAGAGUGGAGCAACUCCUCCUUGGUGGAGUCAAUCCUAGAUCGGCUGCAGACAAC